rnacentral:rRNA from 1 species
AUUGAACGCUGGCGGCGUGCUUAACACAUGCAAGUCGAUCGGUAACGCGGGGGCAACCCUGGCGACGAGAGGCGGACGGGUGAGGAACGCUUGGGAAUCUGCCUAUCAGCGGGGGACAACACGGGGAAACUCGUGCUAAUACCGCACACGCUCUACGGCGGAAAGCCGGGGACCGCAAGGCCUGGCACUGAUAGAUGAGCCGAAGCCGGAUUAGGUAGUUGGCGGGGUAACGGCCCAACAAGGCGACGAUCCGUAGCUGGUCUGAGAGGACGAUCAGCCACACUGGAACUGAGACGCGGUCCAGACUCCUACGGGAGGCAGCAGUGGGGAAUAUUAGACAAUGGGGGAAACCCUGAUCCAGCGACGCCGCGUGGGUGAAGAAGGCCUGCGGGUUGUAAAGCCCUUUCGGUAGGGACGAAAGCUCUCGACCUAACACGUCGGGAGGUUGACUUAACCUACAGAAGAAGCACCGGCUAACUCUGUGCCAGCAGCCGCCGUAAGAC